GUCCGCACGAGCGCAACCCCUACUUGUUAGUUGCCAUCAUUCAGUUGGGCACUCUAGCGAGACUGCCGGUAAUAAACCGGAGGAAGGUGGGGAGUGACGUCAAAUCAUCAUGCCCCUUAUGACCUGGGCUACACACGUGCUACAAUGGUUGGUACAACGAGUUGCGAGUCGGUGACGGCGAGCUAAUCUCUUAAAGCCAAUCUCAGUUCGGAUUGUAGGCUGCAACUCGCCUACAUGAAGUCGGAAUCGCUAGUAAUCGCGGAUCAGCACGCCGCGGUGAAUACGUUCCCGGGCCUU
rnacentral:rRNA from 1 species